GUUGUGACACUGUCGCUGGCAAUGUCUCUGUGAAAUCAAUACUGGGGAAAAGACGGAAGGCAGGUAGCAGGAAGCAAUACCAAGAGCCCAUCUCUCCAGAUGACCAGUGGCAUCUCCCUGGUCAAAGUCCUUGGAGUUCUAGAGUCUACUAUUACCCUCCCAGAGAGACUUGUCCAGCAAGUCCUGUUUGCUCAGGGCACCCCAGCAGUUAGCAUCAUCGUAGUUCCAAUCUCCAUCUUCCGGCCUCAGCCUCCAGCCCCACGCCACUCAGCUUCACUAGCAUUUGUGGGGUACCUAGCACUACCUCAAGUAAGCAAGAGAAAUCCGGUGCUUGAAUGUUUGGAUCUGGGAAUGGGAAGAAAUCUGUUUCUCCCUUUCAUUUUCCAGCUUCUUUCCUUUAUGGGUUUACAUUUAAAGACCAGGAUACAGUAAAGCGCACAGAGAGGCCUUUAGAAAGUCAUUGCACAGGCCCAGAAGAUGAGAAAGACCCAGGGACACCCCAAAUUUACACCUCAAGCUGAUUGCCAGCACAGAUAUAUACUAAUAAUUAAAAAAAAAAAAC
rnacentral:lncRNA from 1 species